GCAAACUUGGUCAUUUAGAGGAAGUAAAAGUCGUAACAAGGUUUCCGUAGGUGAACCUGCGGAAGGAUCAUUCAUGAUACAUAACAAAUAAAAAUAAUUUUUUAUUUGAGUUUUUGUGUGCAUGGUAAUUGUAUGAUUGUAUUUCCAAUCAUCUUUUGUCACUUGUUGUAGCCUUUAACAUGAGCAAUAUUUUUUGCUUUUUGUGGGCUACAACAGCGUUUGAUCAUUCAAAUGUGUUUGCUGAGGGUAAAAAAUAAAAGCAUUAUUGCAGAUUUUUAUAAUAUAUAUAUAAAAACAACUUUUAGCAAUGGAUCUCUAGGCUCUCGCAUCGAUGAAGAACGCAGC
rnacentral:misc_RNA from 1 species